UAAUCUCAAGCAUAGCUUGGUAUUGGAAGAGGAUUUGCUUGUGCAGCUCCCUUCUUAAACUGAUUGGCAAGCCUACUGUAGGAGCAAGCGUAGUAGAAAUACAUGUAGCUAUGUUAUACUGGUAGACUUUGUCAAAAUCAAACUCUUUAGUGG
rnacentral:misc_RNA from 1 species